rnacentral:tRNA from 1 species
UCCCUGAUAGCUCAGUUGGUAAAGAAUCCGCCUGCAAUGAAGGAGAGCCUGGUUCGAUUCCUGGGUUGGGAA